UAACACGUAGGAGACGAGCGUUAUCCGGAUUUACUGGGUGUAAAGCGCGUGCAGGCGGUAUGGUAAGUUGGAUGUGAAAGCUCCUGGCUUAACUGGGAGAGGUCGUACAAGACUGCCAGACUAGAGGACAGCAGAGGGGAGUGGAAUUCCGAGUGUAGCGGUAAAAUGCAUAGAUAUUCGGAAGAACACCAGUGGCGAAGGCGGCUCUCUGGGCUGUACCUGACGCUCAGACGCGAAAGCUAGGGUAGCAAACGGGAUUAGAGACCCCGGUAGUCCUAGCCGUAAACGAUGUGAACUUGGCGUAGGUGGGUUCAAAUCCAUCUGUGCCGAAGCAAACGCGAUAAGUUCACCACCUGGGGACUACGGCCGCAAGGUUAAAACUCAAAUGAAUUGACGG
rnacentral:rRNA from 1 species